rnacentral:tRNA from 1 species
GGGCGCUUGGCUCAGUUGGUUAGAGCGCCACGUUUACACCGUGGAUGGCAGAGGUUCGAAUCCUCUAGCGCCCA